rnacentral:rRNA from 1 species
AAAGCGUCCGCAGGCGGCCUCGAAAGUCUGUCGUUAAAGCGUGGAGCUUAACUCCAUUUAAGCGGUGGAAACUACGAGGCUAGAGUGUGGUAGGGGCAGAGGGAAUUCCCGGUGUAGCGGUGAAAUGCGUAGAUAUCGGGAAGAACACCAGUGGCGAAGGCGCUCUGCUGGGCCAUAACUGACGCUCAUGGACGAAAGCCAGGGGAGCGAAAGGGAUUAGAUACCCCUGUAGUCCUGGCCGUAAACGAUGAACACUAGGUGUCGGGGGAAUCGACCCCCUCGGUGUCGUAGCCAACGCGUUAAGUGUUCCGCCUGGGGAGUACGCACGCAAGUGUGAAACUCAAAGGAAUUGACGGGGGCCCGCACAAGCGGUGGAGUAUGUGGUUUAAUUCGAUGCAACGCGAAGAACCUUACCAGGGUUUGACAUCCUGCGAAUC